GAUAACAUAGUUUAAUGUAAAAUUCCUAUUUUACACGUAGGGGAUGGAAUUUUCCUGUUAUUA
rnacentral:tRNA from 1 species